GACGAACGCUGGCGGCGUGCUUAACACAUGCAAGUCGAACGGUGAUGCUCCAGCUUGCUGGAGUGGAUCAGUGGCGAACGGGUGAGUAACACGUGAGCAACCUGCCCCAGACUCUGGAAUAAGCGCUGGAAACGGCGGCUAAUACUGGAUACGAAACUGGCCCGCAUGGGCAUGGUUUGGAAAGUUUUUCGGUUUGGGAUGGGCUCGCGGCCUAUCAGCUUGUUGGUGAGGUAAUGGCUCACCAAGGCGACGACGGGUAGCCGGCCUGAGAGGGCGACCGGCCACACUGGGACUGAGACACGGCCCAGACUCCUACGGGAGGCAGCAGUGGGGAAUAUUGCACAAUGGGCGAAAGCCUGAUGCAGCGACGCCGCGUGAGGGAUGACGGCCUUCGGGUUGUAAACCUCUUUCAGCAGGGAAGAAGCGAAAGUGACGGUACCUGCAGAAGAAGCACCGGCUAACUACGUG
rnacentral:rRNA from 1 species